rnacentral:rRNA from 1 species
CUCGCAGGGCGGUUUCUUAAGUCUGAUGUGAAAGCCCCCGGCUCAACCGGGGAGGGUCAUUGGAAACUGGGGAACUUGAGUGCAGAAGAGGAGAGUGGAAUUCCACGUGUAGCGGUGAAAUGCGUAGAGAUGUGGAGGAACACCAGUGGCGAAGGCGACUCUCUGGUCUGUAACUGACGCUGAGGAGCGAAAGCGUGGGGAGCGAACAGGAUUAGAUACCCUGGUAGUCCACGCCGUAAACGAUGAGUGCUAAGUGUUAGGGGGUUUCCGCCCCUUAGUGCUGCAGCUAACGCAUUAAGCACUCCGCCUGGGGAGUACGGUCGCAAGACUGAAACUCAAAGGAAUUGACGGGGGCCCGCACAAGCGGUGGAGCAUGUGGUUUAAUUCGAAGCAACGCGAAGAACCUUACCAGGUCUUGACAUCCUCUGACGGUCCUAGAGAUAGGACGUCCCCUUCGGGGGCAGAGUGACAGGUGGUGCAU